GACGAACGCUGGCGGCGUGCCUAAUACAUGCAAGUUGAGCGCUGAAGGUUGUACUUGUACCAACUGGAUGAGCAGCGAACGGGUGAGUAACGCGUGGGGAAUCUGCCUUUGAGCGGGGGACAACAUUUGGAAACGAAUGCUAAUACCGCAUAAAAACUUUAAACACAAGUUUUAAGUUUGAAAGAUGCAAUUGCAUCACUCAAAGAUGAUCCCGCGUUGUAUUAGCUAGUUGGUGAGGUAAAGGCUCACCAAGGCGAUGAUACAUAGCCGACCUGAGAGGGUGAUCGGCCACAUUGGGACUGAGACACGGCCCAAACUCCUACGGGAGGCAGCAGUAGGGAAUCUUCGGCAAUGGACGAAAGUCUGACCGAGCAACGCCGCGUGAGUGAAGAAGGGUUUCGGAUCGUAAAACUCUGUUGGUAGAGAAGAACGUUGGUGAGAGUGGAAAGCUCAUCAAGUGACGGUAACUACCCAGAAAGGGACGGCUAACUACGUG
rnacentral:rRNA from 1 species